rnacentral:rRNA from 1 species
GCAAACUAUACCGUGAAACUGCGAAYGGCUCAUUAAAUCAGUUAUCGUUUAUUYGAUAGUACCUACUUACUUGGAUAACCGUGGUAAUUCUAGAGCUAAUACAUGCUAAAAACCUCGACUUCGGAAGGGGUGUAUUUAUUAGAUAAAAAACCAAUGCCCUCCGGGGCUCCCUGGUGAUUCAUAAUAACUCAACGAAUCGCAUGGCCUUGUGCCGGCGAUGGUUCAUUCAAAUUUCUGCCCUAUCAACUUUCGAUGGUAGGAUAGUGGCCUACCAUGGUGGCAACGGGUAACGGGGAAUUAGGGUUCUAUUCCGGAGAGGGAGCCUGAGAAACGGCUACCACAUCCAAGGAAGGCAGCAGGCGCGCAAAUUACCCAAUCCCGACACGGGGAGGUAGUGACAAUAAAUACUGAUGUGGAGCUCUUUAGGGUUUCACAAUUGGAAUGAGAAAAAUCUAAACCACUUAAACGAGGAACAAUUGGAGGGCAAGUCUGGUGCCAGCAGCCGCGGUAAUUCCAGCUCCAAUAGCGUAUAUUAAAGUUGUUGCAGUUAAAAAGCUCGUAGUUGAACCUUGGGCCUGGCCGGCCGGUCCGCCUCACCGCGUGCACUGGUUCGGCCGGGCCUUUCCUCCUGGGGAACCGCAUGCCCUUCACUGGGUGUGCCGGGGAAUCAGGACUUUUACUUUGAAAAAAUUAGAGUGUUCAAAGCAGGCAUUUGCUCGAAUACAUUAGCAUGGAAUAAUAGAAUAGGACGUUGUGGUUCUAUUUUGUUGGUUUCUAGGACCGCCGUAAUGAUUAAUAGGGGACGA